rnacentral:rRNA from 1 species
CGCGUAGGUGGUUUGAUAAGCGAGAUGUGAAAGCCCCGGGCUUAACCUGGGAACGGCAUUUCGAACUGUCAGGCUAGAGUAUGGUAGAGGAGUGUGGAAUUUCCUGUGUAGCGGUGAAAUGCGUAGAUAUAGGAAGGAAUACCAGUGGCGAAGGCGGCACUCUGGACCAAUACUGACACUGAGGUGCGAAAGCGUGGGGAGCAAACA